rnacentral:rRNA from 1 species
UCCUACGGGAGGCAGCAGUGGGGAAUAUUGCGCAAUGGGCGAAAGCCUGACGCAGCAACGCCGUGUGAGGGAUGAAGGCUUUCGGGUCGUAAACCUCUGUCGGAAGGGAAGAACGGGCAUUGGUCUAAUAGGCCUUUGUUUUGACGGUACCUUUAGAGGAAGCACCGGCUAACUCCGUGCCAGCAGCCGCGGUAAUACGGAGGGUGCAAGCGUUAUUCGGAAUUACUGGGCGUAAAGCGCACGUAGGCCGCUUUGUAAGUCAGGGGUGAAAUCCCACGGCUCAACCGUGGAACUGCCUUUGAAACUGCAGAGCUUGAAUCCUGGAGAGGGUGGCGGAAUUCCUGGUGUAGGAGUGAAAUCCGUAGAUAUCAGGAGGAGCACCGGUGGCGAAGGCGGCCACCUGGACAGGCAUUGACGCUGAGGUGCGAAAGUGUGGGGAGCAAACAGGAUUAGAUACCCUGGUAGUCCACACCGUAAACGAUGAAUACUAGAUGUCGGGC